GAUGAACGCUGGCGGCGUGCCUAAUACAUGCAAGUCGAGCGAACGGACGAGAAGCUUGCUUCUCUGAUGUUAGCGGCGGACGGGUGAGUAACACGUGGAUAACCUACCUAUAAGACUGGGAUAACUUCGGGAAACCGGAGCUAAUACCGGAUGAUAUUUUGAACCGCAUGGUUCAAAGGUGAAAGACGGUCUUGCUGUCACUUAUAGAUGGAUCCGCGCUGCAUUAGCUAGUUGGUAAGGUAACGGCUUACCAAGGCAACGAUGCAUAGCCGACCUGAGAGGGUGAUAGGCCACACUGGAACGGAGACACGGUCCAGAGUCCUACGGGAGGCAGCAGUAGGGAAUGUUCCGCAAUGGGCGAAAGCCUGACGGAGCAACGCCGCGUGAGUGAUGAAGGUCUUCGGAUCGUAAAAAUCUGUUAUUAGGGAAGAACAUAUGUGUAAGUAACUGUGCACAACUUGACGGUACCUAAUCAGAAAGCCACGGCUAACUACGUG
rnacentral:rRNA from 1 species